UUAGUGCUGAGUUCACCCGCAUUACGACCAUCCCAAAGUUUAUGUCGCAGCUCGACCGCUACUCUGAGAAGUUGUCUAGAGUGCUCCGUCAGAAAGGAGGAGCAGCAGGACGCAAAAUCAAAAACAUUAUGGCUGUCAUUGACCAGAAUGAAUCCAUCUAAACAAGGAGAGCUUGUAGCCUCCAAGCAGUAGCUGUCUAUCUCAAUGAAGACCCUGAAAAGCCAGUGAAGGAGUAUGGAGUGCAGACGUUGAUGAACUGCCAGAAGAUGUUGGCAUCAUAGUCGAAGGUGUGCAGGUGCUUCAUGAACUCAAAGAUGUCGCCACUGCUUGUGCCUUACUGUUGGGGAUCAUCUACAACCUAAACUUUGAGCUAUCCAACUGAUCUCAGGUACAUGUUUGAAUUCAUUCAAAAGAACCUGAUGGAACUUGAUACACAGGCUUUCAAACAAAAUCCAGGUACUCAAAAACAAACUGCUGGAAUGAAUGCAUGAAGCCUGGAGGCUGUUCAGUGACAGUUCAUAAUUUUGUUAUGUUUAAUUGAGCUGUAAUUUUCACUCCCUGUUUGUUACUUUAUUUGUUACUGCUGCUUAUUAAAAAAUAAUACAAUUCUCGUGGCUUUAUAACUUUAUAAUGUAAUGUUACAGUGCAUAAGGGUGCACUUUAACCUUCUUGUCCUGUUCAGGGACCCGGUUCACAUUUAUCCUGUUGACUUGAGCUGUAGUUUUGACCGUCAUUACUCUGACUUUUAUCUCUAAGGUAUAAGUUGAUUGAAAAUGCAAAAAAGUUUCUUGUGGCACCAAAGUGUUAAAACCAGUUUAAAUUGAUUUAUUUUUGAUAUUGAAUUUUUUUUUUUACAUUUUCUGACUCUGGGAUUUAGAGCUAUGUUUUUACUGUACAUGCUGUACUUUGCAAGGAUGUUGUGUGAGGAAGCUUAUAACAAGACAUGUUGUUCAUUAUACAUGUAAUUUUCAUACAUGUGAAGCAUUUUUACGUGUUCAAGUGUUGUAUAACUAGCUUUUUGAAUGGUUAUCAACACUAAAUAAAAUGCUGUUUUGAAACAA